AGAGAGAAUAAUAACUGAAAGUAUAUAGGUCCUGGAUCUUUCUUAGGUUUGCUUCAUUCAGAUACUGAUCAAGAAUGCAAAUUGCUUAUCUCCAACAGGCUUCUUUAGCUAUUUCUGCAUAUUAUCUUCUUCUUCUUCUGCCAUUAGUUGUUUGCUCAUCUCAUGAAGAUCAUCAGUUCAAUCCCAGAGGCAGUCACAAAAGCAUUAAGGACAACUUUCACAAGGUAACUCAUCUUUUCUGAAUAACCUUUUUUAAGCUUUCAGAUAAAUUCUUAACUUCUUCUCCUUGUUUGGCUGUUUUGUAUUUUGUAGUUGGGUUCUCAGAUGACUUUUAAUGUUACAGUUCAUGGAAUCCUCUUAUGGUUUUCAAUGGGGCUCUUAAUGCCUAUUGGAAUACUUGUUAUCAGAAUGUCUGUUAGAGAAGAACAAGGGACAACAAGGGCCAAAGUUCUCUUCUAUUUCCAUGUAAUUUUCCAGAUACUGUCGGUGCUUGUUGCCACAGCUGGAGCUGUGAUGUCCAUCAAAAACUUUGAGAACUCAUUCGAUAAUAGCCACCAAAGAUUAGGCCUAGCACUUUAUGUUGCCAUCUGGGUUCAAGCCUUGAUUGGAUUAUUCAGGCCUCACAGGGGAAAGAAGGAAAGAAGUGUGUGGUACAUAGUGCAUUGGAUGCUUGGAACAGUUAUAUCACUAGUGGGGAUCAUCAACAUAUACACAGGCUUGAAUGCUUACCACAACAGAACAAGAAGAAGCUCAGGGCUUUGGAUUAUCCUUUUCACAGCAGAGUUGUGUGUGAUUGUUGUUUACUAUCUAUUCCAAGACAAAAGAGAUUACAUACAAAACCAAGGAGUGGUUACAGACAAUGAUUUCAAUCUAGCAGUCAGGCAAUUAGAUCAAGAACUUGCUCAAAGGCAGAACCAAACGGAGUUGAUGCCUCAGCAACCAUGUGGCAAACGAAAUGCACUCAAGAACUUAAGCGGUGAGCGGCAAGCAUCAAAAAAUCUUUGAAUGGAAGAAGAAGAGCCCAAGAAGAGGAGGGUGGUGGUGGAAUCUCUGGGAUGGCUGACGGAGUCGACCAUCAUGCCCAAGAAGCACCGCGCCAUCGCCGGCGUCGGAGCCUCUUCCAUCAUGGAGCUCAAGGCCCAGCUCUACCAGUCUCAAGAAGAUUCCAAGAAGUCCAAGGACCUCGCCGGCUCUGACGCCGACUUCCUCCGCGCCAAGAAGAAGAUCACCGCACACGACGCCUUCUCCGCCAAGAACUCCGGCGUCGACGCCCGGGCCCACAAGGACAAGCUUGAGCUGAAGGCAGUUAAGGAUGGAUCAGCAAGCUAUGCAGCCUUGGAGAAAAAGGCUGCAUUGUAUGAGAAGCUAGCGAGGGGGGAGCUAUCCGAUGAGGAAGACAAGGAAAAGUAUUGUGUGGAUUUCUUUGUUAAGAGACAUGAGCAGGAUGAGUCGGAGCAGACUCAGCGUCACGAUUCGUCUGCUGUCGCACCACUGGAAGAUCAAGAUGGCGAGACUGAUCUUUCUACGUUGUUUAGCAGAAAACCUGUGGGGCUUGGGCACGCAGGUGCGACAUGGGACAAUGAUGAACACAAGCGAUUUGUGAGGGAAGUUCAUCAAGAAGCGAAUCAAGCAAGAGAGAAAGCCUCGGAGCUCAAAGUACGCAGGCAAGAGCAGGCAACUGCUCGUCGUGAGAAGUUAAAACAAGCAUACAUCCGGAAACAGCUAGAGAAACUAAAAGCAGCAGCACCGAAUAAGGAACAGAUAUAAUAGCAGAAGACAAUUGUCAUUUUGUACAAUAUUCUAGCAGUCAUAAUGAGCUCACCUGCAUAACCAUACGGCACUUUCUCCAUUCUGAGUCUUGUUGAUGUGGAGCAAACUCUAGGUGGAUGAAAAGGGCAAGAAACUGUUUCAAAGAAAAGAGGGGCAUGGAAUCCACUUAUACUGUCUUGGAAGAAAGGAAUUUGUCAGGUUUACUCCAACAAAACGAUCUCUGUUGUUACUUUCAUGUCAGACUUCUGUACAGUGGUUAAUAUGUUGUUUUGUACUUCAUUGGCUGAUUAGCCUGAUUAUGUCAAGCUGAAAGUAUGAAAAUUGUUUCGGAUCUCAAAAUUACACACGCACUAGUUUCACACGUCUUCAAGUUAUCUUUCUUAUC